GUUAAAUAAAAAAGUGUGCGGUUAAAGGCCAGAAAAAAGAGAAUGCACAUGUGUAACGUCCCUAAAAUCUACACAAACUGCAGUGACUUUUGGCCAGGGCUGCCCGCUCGGCGCUUGCCAGGUACUUCUGCCGGUGGAAACGCUUCUCCAGCUCGCAGAUCUGAACCCUGGAGAAGGAAGUACGGGGCUUUUUCCGUUUGGGUGGUGUGCGGUUCUGGUACGGAUGUCCUAUCCGCCUCGUUACGGCGAAUGGCACCAGAGCCGCUGCAGGUAACAGAGAGAGAGAGACCGAUCAUAAAAGCUGAUUAUACUGCAUGUCGCCGCCGUUCCACCCAUUCUCUGCUGCCUCUUGACCUCCUAACCCCUCCUGUUGCCUGCCCGCAGGGCGCUUAUGCAGGGGAGGAGGGGAGGGAGGGACAGAGGACCAGCUGCCACCAGCCAUAGUGCUCUGGUGCCUGGCAGAGGGAGUUACUCUAGCCCCCUGCUUCGCUGGGCCUUCUGGCCCCUCAGGGUUGAGGGGGGGCACCAGCUUCAUGCCACCAGCCCCACCUGUCUGGCCCCAGGCGCAGGAGUGUGACCGAUUAGACACACGCUCAGAUAUAUGCAGCCACAUAUGCAUAUUACUGCCGGAUGACCCCAAAAAUGUCAACUCUCCAGUCACUUUGAUCGGAUCCAAUGUGUUUAUAAAAUGUGUAAUAAACUGCAGUGUUCUUUCAUCCAAGAUAAUUGCAAGUUACCCUUUAUUUGAAUUACCAAUAGAGCUGCAACAAUAAGUCGAGGACUGGGUUAGUGGAUCAAGUACAAGUCAUUUUCAACUUUUAAGCAAUUAAUAGAGAAAUACCCUAACAUUUUUUACAAAUUGUCAGAAAGUACUGUUUUCAACCUUUUGAAUAUGGAAGCUCUCUGCUUUUCUUUGUUUUAAAUCAAACUGAAUAUCUUUUAGGUUUAGGAAUUACAAUACACCAAGCGAUUAUUCAGUUUUAAAAGUCAUCUGUUUUCUAAACUCAUUUGCACAAGGUGAUUGGCCUAUAUUUAAAUUCUGCUACACACACUUACACAGGUUUCCUCAACACACAUGCCCUUAUUCACACACACACAACCACACACUAACACACAAAUACACAGAGGCACUUUGCUGUGAGGCGUGAAAGAACGAGAGCUAAGUGAGGCCACUCCAGAGCGCUAUUCUCUAUAUUGAUUUCCCAUUAUCAGACCCCAGUCCCUGUGGAGUCAUUAGUGCCGGGAUCAAACAGACAGACAGAGAAGGAGACUAAUACCAGUCACUUACACCAGCACAGGGAGAUCACCUUACCUCCCCGAGGGUAGGAAGGCCAGAGAAGAGCAGGAGGAGAGGAGGAAAUGAGGAGGGGGGGGUUAGUGGACGGACGAGUGCAACGGGCUAACAGAUGGAGACAGCAAUGUGUAGAGAGCGAGGAAGAGGAAAGAGGUGGGGUUUUGCAGUGGAACGUUCAUGGGCAAAUGGUAGACACUCUUUGAUCACUUUAUUUGGCUGUUUUGUCUUUGGAAGCGGAAAUGUCUUGUUUCACUUUGUUGCCCUUUUUUUUGCUCUUUUUCAGCUACACUAUCCCAAAA